rnacentral:rRNA from 1 species
AUGCCAGGUGUAUCGAGGGAACUCACUGAGCACACUAUUAAUGUGGAUCCCAAGUUUAAGCCGGUCAAGCAGUUUCUUCGUCAGUUUAAUGAGGAGAGGCGCAAGGCAAUUGGUGAAGAGGUGGCCCGGCUCUUGGCAGCAGGGUUCAUCAUUGAAGUUUUUCAUCCUGAGUGGUUGGCUAACCCGGUGCUAGUACUUAAGAAAAAUGGCACUUGGCGUAUGUGUGUGGAUUAUACAGACUUUAACAAGGCAUGUCCGGCUGAUCCUUUUGCUCUCCCGCAUAUUGAUCAAAUUAUUGAUGCUACGGCGGGUUGUGAGUGUUUGAGUUUUUUAUAUGCUUACUCUGGUUAUCAUCAGAUCAAAAUGGCAGUUAAGGACCAGGACAAGACAACUUUCAUCACUCCCUUUGGAGCCUUCUGCUAUGUGUCUAUGCCUUUUGGGUUCAAGAGUGCCCAGGCGACUUACCAACGGUGUGUUCAGAAUUGCCCUCAUGGCCAGAUUGGGCACAAUGUUCAUGCUUAUGUGGAUGAUAUUGUUGUGAAAUCCAGGAAGAAGGAAACAUUGAUUGAGGAUCUGAAAGAGACCUUUGACAAUCUCCGGGUCUACAAGAUGAUGCUUAACCCGACCAAGUGUGUUUUUGGCGUGCCAGUAGGCAAGUUAUUGGGUUUCCUGGUUUCUGAGAGGGGCAUUGAGGCUAACCCGGAGAAGAUCAGGGCUAUCACCUCUUUGGCUAAGUCGGUGUGUAUCAAUGACGUCCAACAUUUGGCGGGUCGUAUCGCGGCUUUGAGCCGGUUUAUAAGCCACCUGGGAGAGAAGGCUAUCCCUUUUGUAUCAGAUGAUGAAAAAGACCGAUGA